AUGGAUAUAUACUUUCUCCUAACCUCAGACAUCGGCAGUCUUGAUUGUCAGAACUUCAGACUCAGACUAAAUUUCCUGCUUCUGCAGCCGUCAGACAGAUUAUGGGAGUUCUUGGCCUCCAUAAUUAUGUCUCACAUCAGCAGUAUUCUAAGGGGAAGUCAGCAAACUUUUUAAUGACUUUGGAGAUAUCAUCUCAAAGAAGUGAUGUUGUGAGAAGAGCGAUUUCAUGCUGAAUUCCAUUCACUUCUGAGAGGGGCUUAUACCGUUCCUUGCAAUGGCAGGCACUCCAAAAUAGUAGCCGAGAAGGAAAGCAACCGUAGGGAGAUUCCCCUUCCUGCUGUUGAUGAAAGAGUUUUUAGAAUGAAGCUUAUUGAUCUUUGGUAAGUGAAUGUUGCAAUCGUAAAGUCUCCCUCCAUGAUAUUUAACCAAAGUCCAUUCUAAAGGAAGUCCUGCCUAACCCACUAAGCUGACUCUGUUGAACAAAUUGAUGAGGCCUCCCCCAUCUUUUAGAGAUGUAUUCCUGGAAAGGCUUUUUCCCAGGAUGUGAGUUCAUUUCGAGUGAAUCACAUAGUUACCUAUCUCUCAGGGAAGCAGAUCCAUUAGACAAUAAUUUUAGAGGAGGGGAAAUGCCAUGCUCUUAGUUGUCAAAAUGAAUUGCUUGCUAAUAUUUCUGUUUUGAAAACUCUUAAGGUAACUUUUGCUUCUUAAAGUUAGCUGUUACUAAAAGUCAAAAAGUUUAAUAUUGUUAGUUAAUUUUUCUAAAAGCCAUAAAAAAUGUGAUUCAGAAUCAUAUUAUUCCAUAUUUCAGAGAAGCAUCAUGAAUCACUUUGUGGCAUGGUAGUACUUGAAUUUCUGCCCAGGCAUUCCUCUGUAAGACCUCUAUUAGAAUCUUACUACCAGGAAGAGCUGCUGUUGCUGACAGUCUCACAGCUGAUGUGUGAUUUUAGACAAGAUUUCUUAAUUGCUGCAGAUUCGCACAGACUGUGUAGUAGGCACAGUGAUUAGUCUCAGUGAUGAGAGUCACUGGAAUGGUCACACCUCCUGUGCAAGGUAUCUCAUUGAGAUUUUACAUGUUUUUAUUGAAUGCCUAAUAUCUGACAGGCACAGAGCUGAUGCACUUCCACAUGGUUGCAUUUAACUUUCACAACUAUUUUGUGAAGUUUCUAAUAUUGUCUCUAUUUUACAAGCGAUGAAAUUUAAGUAUAGACAAAUUAAGUGUUUUUCCUAAAAUCAUAGAGAUGAAGUAGGAGAGAAAGGUUUAGAUGUCAGAUUUCCUGAUUCUAACUUAGAGCUAUUUUCUAUAGUCUCAGCAUAUGACCUUUUACCAUUCUACAUUGACUUUACAGGAUUUAAUCCCUCAUGCUCAGAUGGUGCCUGGCAAUUCCUGUUUAUUGUCUCUAUUUUCCAAGUAUUUUAUUAUCUAAUUUUAUAAAGACCUGAAGUAUGUAUACUUUUUGGAUAUCUCAUAUUAAAAACAUUAUAUUCUUCUGUUAUUUAAACCAAGGGCCAGCAAAUUACCACAUGCUUUUGUAAAUAAAUCUUUAUUGAAACAUAGCCCCACCCAUUUGUCUAUGUAUUGUCUAUGGCUGCUUUUUUCCUGUGAUGGCAGAGCUGAGAAGCAGCAACACAGAUUUUAUUAGCUUCAAAGUCUAAUAUAUUUAUAAUUGGCCUUUUACAGACUCCUACCAUAGAGAAUUUAGAGUUCUGACUCUGAAUAUGGCCCUUACAUUAAUGUUAAUCCACCUAUGUGGCCUAUUUGCUUUACUGUACUAAAAUGCCCCUAGAUAAUGCUAAGGUAAUUACACAUUUUUAAAUUAUUGUCUAAAAUGUUUGCUCACUCUUGGUUUAAGCCAUGAAAAAUUAUUCACAGAAAUUAUUUGCAUUCGUGCGUGCACAUGCAGCAAUGUUCACAUAUGCACUUAAAAAUGUCAGACAAAUCCUUUCUUGAAAAAGGCUGGGUUUGCAUAUGAAUGUUCUAACUACAUAUAUAUGUUUCUGCCACCUCUCAUACCCCGUCUUUCAUUCCAGUUAUUGCUGCAAUGACAAUUUUUCCAGAAAAAACAUUUAGAAAGCUUGUCUCAGCUGAGCCACAUGUCUCUCUCUUGCUGUCUUAGGCUUUCUCUGAUGCCACAGGAUGGGAUGUCUGGAGACUCCUAUUCCCAUGCAGUACAAACUUGGACAAGCAAGGGAAUUUACAUCCCUUGGUCAAUCCUUAAUUCAUGGGAUGAAACAACAAAACAAAACAGUAGAUAACACCACUUAAUUUUGUCCCCUGCUCUCACAACUCAGAGAUGCAUUCUACAUGGAUCCUUGAUGUAGAAGCCCAGGUGCCUAUAAUGAUGACCAGUUUGAUCAUCCAUCUUCGGACUGGCUUUUUGCUCUUCCCUCUUUACCCUAUCUAAUUUCUCACUCCUAAUCCCCAGAACACUUCCUGAAAUGAACUAAUUAUCCACCUACUCAAACCCACAGAAUAUCGAAAUAUGUACAUAUAUUGCAUAGUAGAUAGACUGAAUUUUGAGUUGGUGAAAGAGAUAUUUACUUCCAGCAAUUUUCCCCUACCAUGGCCACAGCAUCUUUUAUUGUGCAUAUGUGCCCCCAUGAACCUUAUAGGAGCCUUCUGAAUCUUUUUCAAUAGAGCAUGUUUGAAAAUUGCUACUAAAUAUUCAGAGUCACCACUGGAAAUAAAAACUCUCUGUCAUACCCAGUAACUCCAAUACUAUUUAAGCCUAAAUGUAAUACGUGUGGCGAGAGAUAGGGGAGGGUAAGUACUCACAGACAUACACCUAUACUAUGGCAUCACACAACUUUAUUUUAAUGACUUGGUAUUAUUGAAUACAUUCAAAAUAUAAUUUUAUAUUAUAUAAUGAUAUAGUUAGUUAAAACGCUUGUAAUAUUUGAAAACUGGUUAUAUAUAUAUAUAUACAUGCAUACAUAUAUAUGUAUGUAUUGGGUGGCAUUCAACAUCAAAAAACCACAAAACGGAGAAAUUCAAAAUAGAACAAAAAUACUAAUACAAAGCAGUGAUGUAAUUUUUAUCCAGCCUUUGACAUUAGAUUAUUAGAAUGUAUUCUGUUCAAUAUUCAUUGUUAGGUU
rnacentral:lncRNA from 1 species